rnacentral:rRNA from 1 species
UGAGGAAUUUUGCGCAAUGGGAGCAAUCCUGACGCAGCAACGCCGCGUGGGUGAUGAAGGCCUUCGGGUCGUAAAGCCCUGUCAGGUGGGAAGAACGUCUUGGGGAUGAAUAAGCUCUGAGAGUGACGGUACCACCAGAGGAAGCACCGGCUAACUCCGUGCCAGCAGCCGCGGUAAUACGGAGGGUGCGAGCGUUAUUCGGAAUUACUGGGCGUAAAGCGCGUGUAGGCGGGGAGGCAAGUCUGAUGUGAAAGCCCCGGGCUUAACCUGGGAAGUGCAUUGGAAACUGCUUUUCUUGAGUGCUGGAGAGGAAGGGGGAAUUCCCGGUGUAGAGGUGAAAUUCGUAGAGAUCGGGAGGAAUACCAGUGGCGAAGGCGCCCUUCUGGACGGCAACUGACGCUGAGACGCGAAAGCGUGGGGAGCAAACAGG